UCCUGUAGUCUGACACCUGGAGUAAAACCCCUUCAAGGGAUGCUAGCGCAUGACUUAUGGGAUCAUUUUGAAACUGCAGAUUCCCAAAAUACUUCUGUGCUUGGUACAAGAGUGCAACUGGAGACUUUUUGAGACUGGGCUAUUCUGGACAGGUCUGUUCACUCUGUGGCAGCGUGACAGCGGGAAUAAGGGAAUUGGGAAUGAUGACGUCUUUAUUAGAGCAGACUAUUUGGUAGGGAAAUAUCCUCUCACCCUGCACUGUGCUGACAGACCCAGAUGAAUCACCCCCGUUUAUUCUGCUGAUGCUGCAGGUAUGCGAGAGCCAGGAAUUUAAUAUGCGGCCGGUGGGAGAGAGGAACUACGGGUGCUGGAGAGGAUCAAUAAUUGAAAGGUCACAGUGGUCACAAGGUUCAGAGUGGCUGAACUGUUGUGUGUGCAGGUAUAUGAGGAGCUCAUUGUUUGUGUG